rnacentral:rRNA from 1 species
GUGGGGAAUAUUGGGCAAUGGAGGCAACUCUGACCCAGCAAUGCCGCGUGAGUGAUGAAGGUAAUUUUAUUGUAAAGCUCUUUUCUUUGGAACGAACAAAUGACGGUACCAAAGGAAUAAGCCCCGGCUAACUACGUGCCAGCAGCCGCGGUAAUACGUAGGGGGCAAGCGUUGUUCGGAAUGACUGGGCGUAAAGGGUGUGUAGGUGGUUUAGCAAGUUAGAUGUGUAAUACCCAGGGCUUAACUCGGGUGCUGCAUCUAAAACUGUUAGACUUGAGUACUGGAGAGGAUAGUGGAAUUCCUAGUGUAGCGGUGGAAUGCGUAGAUAUUAGGAGGAACAUCAGUGGCGAAGGCGACUAUCUGGACAGCAACUGACACUGAGGCACGAAAGCGUGGGGAGCAAACAGG